rnacentral:rRNA from 1 species
UACGUAGGGUGCGAGCGUUAAUCGGAAUUACUGGGCGUAAAGCGUGCGCAGGCGGUUGUGCAAGACAGAUGUGAAAUCCCCGGGCUUAACCUGGGAACUGCAUUUGUGACUGCACGGCUAGAGUGUGUCAGAGGGGGGUAGAAUUCCACGUGUAGCAGUGAAAUGCGUAGAGAUGUGGAGGAACACCGAUGGCGAAGGCAGCCCCCUGGGCUAACACUGACGCUCAGGCACGAAAGCGUGGGGAGCAAACAGG